rnacentral:sRNA from 1 species
CAACUGCUAAGGCUGCCUUGGGAAGAAGAUGAUCCUAAACAAAGCUCUUAUGCUGGGGGCCCUUGCCCUGACCACUGUGAUGAGCCCCUGUGGAGGUGAAGACAUUGUGGCUGACCACGUUGCCUCUUAUGGUGUAAACUUGUACCAGUCUUACGGUCCCUCUGGCCAGUACACCCAUGAAUUUGAUGGAGAUGAGGAGUUCUAUGUGGACCUGGAGAGGAAGGAGACUGUCUGGCAGUUGCCUCUGUUCAUCAAAUUUAGAAGAUUUGACCCACAAGGUGCACUGAGAAACAUCAUUGUGGGAAAACACAAUUUGGACAUCCUGAUUAAAUGCUCCAACUCUACCGCUGCUACCAAUGAGGUUCCUGAGGUCACUGUGUUUUCCAAGUCUCCCGUGACACUGGGUCAGCCCAACACCCUCAUCUGUCUUGUGGACAACAUCUUUCCUCCUGUGGUCAACAUCACAUGGUUGAGCAAUGGGCACUCAGUCACAGAAGGUGUUUCUGAGACCAGCUUCCUCUCCAAGAGUGAUCAUUCCUUCUUCAAGAUCAGUUACCUCACCUUCCUCCCUUCUGCUGAUGAGAUUUAUGACUGCAAGGUGGAGCACUGGGGCCUGGACGAGCCUCUUCUGAAACACUGGGGUAAGUAUGAUUUUCACCGUUUUUUGAUGCUUUCUUGUCUGUCAAGUUCAGAACUUCCUGCCUUUUACUGCUAUAUCCCAAAACUUGUUUUCCACACUUCAUGAGUUUCUUUUAUCUUUUUUUUUUUGAAAGAAUAAAGCAACAAAAGCAGAGAUGUAUUAAAAAUGAAAGUACACUCCACAGGGUGGGAGCAGGCCUGCCACUUCACGGGUUUCUAAUAAUAGACUUCACUCUCCUCCCUAAGCCGGGGACCUUCAGUCUUUGCAGAGCCAACCCUCUACCCCAUCCCCUCCCACACACAUGCACAUGAACAUGCUCUGCAUUCUGACCUCAACAACGUCACUUCCACAGAGCCUGAGAUUCCAGCGCCUAUGUCAGAGCUCACAGAGACUGUGGUCUGUGCCCUGGGGUUGACUGUGGGCCUCGUGGGCAUUGUGGUGGGGACCAUCCUGAUCAUCCGAGGCCUGCGUUCAGUUGGUGCCUCCAGACACCAAGGGCCCUUGUGAAUGGCAUCCUGGAAGGGAAGGUAAGAUUGAGAUUUGUUAGAGCUGAAGCUGCAGUAUGAGAGGAAGGAAAGUGGGAGGGGGUUGUGGACAUGAAUGGUUGAAAGUUGUAGGGGAAUUGGGAAGUGGCAUGAUGAUGACACAGGAGCGGCCUCGGACCCAUCGAUCUCAUGUCUGUCCUGUUGCAGGUGCAUCGCCAUCUACAGGAGCAGAAGAGUGGACUUGCUAUAUGACCUAGCACUAUUUUCUGGCCCGAUUUAUCAUAUCCCUUUUCUCCUGCAAAUGUUUCUCCUCUCACCUUUUCUCUGGGACUUAAAUUGCCUAUCCCCUCAGACCUCACAAAUGCCUUUGAAUUCUUUCCCUGACCUACUGAUUUUUUUUCUUUUCUCAAAUGUUACCUACUAAGAGAUGCCUGGGGUAAGCCACCCAGCUACCUAAUUCCUCAGUAACCUCCAUCUAAAAUCUCCAUGGAAGCAAUAAAUUCCCUUUAUGAGAUCUAUGUCAAAUUUUUCCAUCUUUCAGCCAGGGCUGACUGAAACUAUGGCUAAGAAUUGGGAGACUCUUAUGUUUCAAGCCAAUUUAAUCACAUUUCCCAGAUCUUAUUUCAUUUCCAGUAACACGGAAGCAACCAAGUACAAUAUAGCCUGAUAAUAUGUUGCUUUCUUAGUUGACGUUAAUAUUUCUUUCUUCCUUGUGUUCCCACCCUUGGCAUUGCCACCCACCCCUCAAUUCAGGCAACAAUGAAGUUAAUGGAUACCCUCUGCCCUUUGCUCAGAAAUGUUAUAGCAAAAAUUAUAAAAAAAAAAUAAGUUUGUACUAAUUUCAAUAUGGCUUUUAAAAGUAUGACAGAGAAAUAAGUUAGCAUAAAGGAACUUUGAAUCUCAAAAAUAUCAAAAGUAAAAAUUUAUUCUCAAAACUUUAAAUUUGUGAAGAAUGAUGACAGUAGAAGCCUUUCUCUCCCCUCCUCGCCUUGAAGGAAUAAAAAUUUUCUUAGGCAGGAAAAGAAAUGGAAGUCAGAAAAACAUUAGAAAAAGACAAUAAUGUGGGUAUCUGAAAAGGAACAAAUACUCAAUCCUCACAUAGGGUUAGUGACAAUGGCGAAAGGGAUGGGAGCAGAAGCCACAGACAUAUCUAGGAGCCCUAGAAUAGAGGCGCAGUCUGCCUCACCUCCUGAAUGAAGCUUUGAUAACCAGAUAACCAUGUAGCUUUCCCUGUGCCACCCUGGCACGAAGGAGACAGUAUAGUGGAUAUGGCUGCAGGAUGUUUCUAGGAAACAUGCCAAUAGAAAACAACACCAAUAUCUUCAGAAAUCCCAAGCCCUUUCCCCUAACCCUCCUGGCUAAGGAAAGCACUAGCUUAUGAGAGAAACCCUAGGAAGAACAACACAGUUGAGAAAAUGUAGCAGCAGCUGUGGGUGCUGUGUCCUCCGUUGGAUUCACCAUUUCCUAGCAGAAACUCUCACAGAGGAAAUGGGUCAGCAGUGAUCUCAUGGCUCUAAACAGCUAUGAAAUCUGUAAGGAUAUUUCUAUCCAUGCUACCUGCAUCAGUGAGUUUAAAUUUUAAUUGUAGAAAAAAGACAAAAUAUUAAUGCAGUAAUUGAUACAGUAAAGUUUGGUGCAAAUAAUCCUAAAUCCAAAUCCAGGACUCAGUACUUUGAAGCUAGUAUUUUAAACUUUAUAAAUGGGUGAAGUAUCUAACAUUUCUGGCCUUAUUUUUCUCAUCCACAAUGUAGGAGUAAUAAUAAUUUCUUUGCAGAGUUAUUGAUGGAAUUUGAAUAAUCUUGAUAUAUAGUCAAUGCCUUACACAUAGUAUAUAAAUACACAAUAAAACAUUGUGGUUAUAUUUAUAAUUAAUUUAUUUAAAAGAAUGGAUCACUUUAUAUGAAAAAUACUUUUGUUUUUCUCAGCCCCUUAAUGAUUUAGGAGAUUCAAAUGUAGAGCUAUGGGUGAAUUUCUUUUCAUAUGAUCAUUGGAGGAUAUUUUUUUUCUCCAGAAUGAGAGAUGCUGAGAUCGAUUGCUAAGAGAGCUCUUAGGACGAGAAAUUGUAAUAUUUGACUUUGGUUUUCAACUCUCUGAGAAGAGAUAUAUUCCCUCCUUAUGGCCCGUAAGUGUUUAUUCAAGGUAUUUCAUAUGCAACAGAUGUUUAUGCAUGUUUACUUUGGGGAGGAGGUGAAGAAAGUUCAAGGAGAAAAUAAUUUAAAAUGCAGACUAGGAAUCAGUAAGCACAGGGAGUCUGAACCAGUGAUGAUCAUGAAAAUGUCCAUCACAAAGCACAGAGGAUUUUUAGGGCAAUGAAACUACUCUAUUUGAUACCACAAUGGUGAAAAAUGUCAUUAUGCAUUUGCCCAAAUCCACAGAAUGUACAACACCAAGAGUGAGACUUAAUGUAAACUAUGGACUUUGGGUGAUAAUGAUGUGCCAAUGUAAGUUCAUAAAUUAUAGCAAAUGUACCACUCUGGCGAGAGAUGUUACUAAUGGGGGAGGCUAUGCAUGUGUGGGAGCAGAGUGUAUCUGGCAGCAGUCCCCAACCUUUUUGGCACCAGGGACCAGUUUUAUGGAAGACAAUUUUUCCACAGAUAGUGGGGGGAAUGUGGGUAUGAUUUGGGGAUGAAACUGUGAAACUGUUCCACCUCAGAUCAAAAAGCAUUAGCUAGGUUCUCAUAAGGAACAUGCAACCUAGAUCUCUUGCAUGCACAGUUAACAAUAGGAUUCAUGCUCCUAUGGGAAUCUAAUGCCACCACUGAUCUGACGGAAGGCAGGGCUCAGUUGGUAACGCUAGCUCGCCUACUGUGUGGCCCAGUUUCUAACAGGCCACCAGCUGGUACUGGUCCAUGGCCCAGGGGGUUGGGGUCCUCUGGAAUAUCUCUGCACCUUCUGCUCAGUUUUUCUGUGAACCAACAACUGCUUUAAAAUAAAGUCUAUUUUUAAAAAGGAGAAGAAAAAGUAACCAAUUAUGAUCCCAAAUAUAUAAAACUUUUAGUAUGAAAAAGUCACAUUAAAAUGCACAAAUGCGCUAAGAAAUUUUUAGCAAUAAGAUUUCAAACAAAUUUCAUAUAAAUUUCAAUGAUUCAUGAGGCAAGAAUCCAGCAUUUUGGAGUUGUGUGCAUUUGUGUGCGUGUGUGUCUGUGUGUGUGUAAUAUAAGGGUUAUAAUGAAUGGCAAAAUGACUAGAGUCAUACAGAAAUCAACAAAUGCUGCCCAACUCAGACUCAUUCCUCAAGAAGUACUGUGGAAAGCAAAUUUAAUGAUAUUGCAUUUUAUUAAAAGGUUGUAUUCAAAAAGUAUUUCUGUAAUGUUAAAAUAGCAGAAUUAAAACUAAUUCUAAAAAAUAAGAGUAAAUUUUUUUAUCAGCUAAAAAAGUAGGGUCAUUAUUGACAUUACUAUACAUAGGGUUACAGAUCAACCUGUGUUAUUUUAAAUCAUGUGAUACUUAAAAAUUAUUUCAGUUAUUUGAAUUAUUUCAGAUUGUAUACAUAAAGUGUGACUUCAUUAAUAUUUAAUAUCACACUAUUCAAAAUUUACAAAAUUAGUGGGUCACAGAGGCUCAUGCCUGUGAUCUUAACACUUUGGAGGCCAAUGGAGGAGGAUUGCUUGAAGCCAGGAGUUCAACAGCUGCCCGGGCAACAAACCAAGACCCCAUCUCUACAACAUAAAAAUAAAUUAGCACAUGGUGGCGCACCUGUAAUCCCAGCUACUCUGGAGGCUGAGGCGAGAGGAGCAAACUCAGGAGGUCAGGGCUUCAGUGGGCUAGGAUUGUGCCACCACGCUCGCUCCAGCCUAGGCAACAGAGCAAGACCCCAGCUCUAAAAAUAAAUAAAUAAAUAAAUAAAUAAAUAAAUAAAUAAAUAAAUAAAUAAAUUUUACAAAACUUUAAAAAUCACAUGAAAUAUUUCAGGUUUGUACUUACCACAAACAAACUAGGGAUUUAAAGAAUUAAACAUUUUAUUUUACUUACAGUCUGUACUGGCACAUAGUAAGUAGUCAAUAGGUGUUAACAAUUGGUAUUAUUGUUAUUUUCUGGAGUCCAACUAACAAAUCCCACAGUGAAUGACACCACAGGGGUGCAACCAACAAGAUCCAGAAUAUGGGAACUUCCACUAGAUAACUCCAUUUCUUCAGCAACAAUUCAAAGACAGACAGAGAGAGAGAGAGAGAGAGAGAAAGAAGAGAGAGAAGAGAAGAGAAGCUAUACAUUUUAAAAAGGCUGAAGAAAUAUAUGAACCAAAUUGAUAUGAGGCAAUCAGAAAAAUUGACACCAACUGUAUUAAGGAAAUAGCUAAUUUUAGUGUGGUAAUAGCAUUGCUGUUAUGCUUCUAAAAAGUCAUUAUACUUUAGAUUUUCAUAAUAAAAUAAUUAUGAAUG